UUGGAUGCUGAAGUAAAUGGAGUAAAAUUGGAAUUGGAAUAUUGGUUGCUUUAUCAUUUGUCUAUCGUUAGGAGCAUGCUAGGCCGACCACACAUGGGUAGGCAAACUUUUAGGCACGUAAAUGAAUCAUCGUGACUAUGGGUAUGGUUCCCCUGGCAUAGUCAUGAUACAUAACUCCAAAUUCGGGUGUGCAUUUCAUGUGACCUGACCAUAACUAAUAAUAAUAAAAUUAAACAUGUUGUAAAUUGCGAGAACAUUUUAUGCGACACGGUUUGUAAUGUAUACCAAAACAACAAGUGUAAGACAAUUGUGACUUGUUUCGUAAAAUAUGUUACGACCCAAACCGAUGGGCUGCGACGGGUGCCUGAGUCCUACCUAUCAAACACCCUAAGCAUGCGUCUAAGAUAUGAACCUGUAUAACAUCUGUUGAACUACGAAGAUAGCAUACAUGAAGGAAACCUACCAACAAGACAUAUGUACGUAUACAUGCAGAAUACAGUGGGCGAGCUAGCAAGGCUGCUAUAGACAACUACAUACCCAAUAAUUGAAAGCCGACAAGGCCACAUACAACCCAAUUAGACAUAUUAUCUACAGACCUCUAAUGGAAACAUAACUGUACAAAGACGGGACUGAGCCACGUCAUACCCAUAUACAUAUAUAUACAUAUAUAUAUAUAAACAUACAUAUACAUACAUAUAUAUAUAUACAUACAUAUACAUACAUAUAUAUAUAUAUAUAUAUAUAUACAAACGUAUCGUACCAAAAUCAAAGCAGCUCUAGAUCAAGUGGAGCACGCCAACUCUCGCUGAUCAGGGAUCCUAAGAAGGGGGACUGUCAGCUUGCCUAUCUACACUUGCGGGCAUGAAACGCAGACCCCGUGAAAUAGGGCGUCAGCACGAAAAAUGUACUGAGUAUGUAAGGCAUGAAAAUUAGUACGUAAAAGACAUAGAUGAAACAUGAAAUACGAAAACACAUCUUUAAAUCUGAAUAACUUUGUAAAUUCUGAAACGUUUAUAACGUCAUGCACGUGCGUGUAAAUGUCGUUCCAUGCAUAGGUAUGGGUAUACAUAAUAUCAUCAAGCCACUGAGGGCAUCCCAUCAUAUCAUCUCGGCCAUUGUGGGCAAUAUCAUCAACAUAUACAACUGAUCAGGUGGUGGUGCGUAUAUAACGCUGUAACCUUUUUCCAUAUCCCAUACAUAUAUUUACAUAUAUACGCGUAUAUAAUGCCAUCUCGUCAUGGGUCAAUGCACAUGAGUGAAAUGCAUGAAAAAUACGUAAUAAUCUCAAUAUUUCUUCCGGAUAAACUUUUUCAACUACGUAUUAUUCUGAGACCCAUGAACAGAAAAUAAUAAUAAUUUUCAUGGGGAAUCAAGAAUAUAGACACCCGUAAUAAUUCUAUGAAUAGAUUAAUUUAUGGAAACUGUAUGCUUGCUCGUUUCUUCAGUAUAAUUUGGACCAUGCCAAAAGAAAGAAGGGAUGGUCUAAACAUACCUGGAGUACGGAAAACUCCGUAUAAUAUUCCGUUGGAAAACCUUCGUUGAUUAAACGAAAUCUGCCCCUACUUCUUAGAAAUUCAUGGACGAAAUUGCUUCUGGUUCCAAAAAAUUUUGGAAUGAAAUAACGUUUUCCGUAUUAGUUGAGCCAGUGGCUUCAAAUGCCAAAGAGUUAAACCAAAUAAGGUUAAAAAAGGGAAAUGGACGUCGUCUCAAGAGAUGACAUAGUUGUAGUAGGAACAUCCAUCUCAAUGAUAUUUGGUCUCAUAAAUGGUUGCUAUUGUUAUAUCAUACUUAAACCUGCAUAAUUCACCUUAGACAAUUAUCCUUGAGAUUUUGAAAGGAACACGUUUUUGGUUUCUUGGAAUUUUGAGAGGAGUAAUGUUUUUGGUUUCUUGGAAUUCUGAUUUAUAUUAGAUUGUAUCCAGACAAUUUAGGAUAGUCAUCCG
rnacentral:lncRNA from 1 species